rnacentral:rRNA from 2 species
CCCUGGCGCUUGCGCCGGGGUGAGAGUGGCGAACGGGUGAGUAAUGCGUGACCAACCUGCCCCAUGCACCGGAAUAGCUCCUGGAAACGGGUGGUAAUGCCGGAUGCUCCAGAUGACCGCAUGGGAUUCUGGGAAAGCUUUUGCGGCAUGGGAUGGGGUCGCGUCCUAUCAGCUUGUUGGUGGGGUGAUGGCCCACCAAGGCUUCGACGGGUAGCCGGCCUGAGAGGGCGACCGGCCACAUUGGGACUGAGAUACGGCCCAGACUCCUACGGGAGGCAGCAGUGGGGAAUAUUGCGCAAUGGGCGAAAGCCUGACGCAGCGACGCCGCGUGCGGGAUGGAGGCCUUCGGGUUGUAAACCGCUUUUAUCGGGGAGCAAGCGAGAGUGAGUGUACCCGUUGAAUAAGCACCGGCUAACUACGUGCCAGCAGCCGCGGUAAUACGUAGGGUGCAAGCGUUAUCCGGAUUUAUUGGGCGUAAAGGGCUCGUAGGCGGUUCGUCGCGUCUGGUGUGAAAGUCCAUCGCUUAACGGUGGAUCUGCGCCGGGUACGGGCGGGCUGGAGUGCGGCAUGGGAGACUGGAAUUCCCGGUGUAACGGUGGAAUGUGUAGAUAUCGGGAAGAACACCAAUGGCGAAGGCAGGUCUCUGGGCCGUUA